rnacentral:rRNA from 1 species
GGGGAAUAUUGGACAAUGGGCGCAAGCCUGAUGCAGCAACGCCGCGUGCAUGAUGAAGGCCUUCGGGUCGUAAAAUGCUUUUCUAGCUGAAGAGGAAGGACAGUAAGCUAGGAAUAAGCGUCGGCUAACUACGUGCCAGCAGCCGCGGUAAAACGUAGGACGCAAGCGUUAUCCGGAGUUACUGGGCGUAAAGCGCGGGCAGGCGGUUCUCCAAGUCUGAUGUGAAAGCGCUCGGCUCAACCGAGCGAUGCCAUUGGAAACUAGAGAACUGGAGUCUGGCAGAGGUAGGCGGAAUUCCGGGUGGAGUGGUGAAAUGCGUAGAGAUCCGGAGGAACACCAGAGGCGAAGGCGGCCUACUGGGCCAGUACUGACGCUGAGCCGCGAAAGCUAGGGGAGCGAA